GGAACAGUCUUUUGAUGGACCCUCGCUCUGCACCUCACUGCAAGAAGGAGACUGGACACUGAAUGGCCUGUUGGUAAGGAGGAAGAAGACGAGGGCAGGGAAGAAAGGAACAGACCAACAGCAUCAUUUAAGAGGACUUCACUGUAUAGCCAACAUUGUUCCAAGUUCCUGGGAUCAAACACAGGCUGUCAGGCUUUGCAGCAGGCACCUUCGCUGGCUGAGCCAUAGUGCUGGCCCCAUAGCUCUUACACAGCACUCAGUUCCAUGACCCUGUCUCCCAAAUUGGACAAGGACUUCCAGAGACAAGGCAUUUUCUCUACAUGGGAUGCACUCUCUGGAGACUGUAGCCUGGGCUCGUGAAGCAUGAUGGGAAACCAUGGACAAGUGUAAGCCCCAUCAACAACCUUCAGACUGCUCCCUCAAAGGUCUCUAUGCAGUCAUGAGAACCCAGGAAUUGACAAUUGAUGGCCCAGGUGUCUCUGAUGGUCAGCCCUUGGACAAACCACUGUGUCCCUACAGCCUCUGUAAGGAACCUCUCCUGAGGAGGCUCUGCCCAAAUCCAAGCCUCAGCCUAUCAUACCAUUUUCACUUCAGUUUUACAGGAUUGAUUUUUUUUUUUCAAGCCCAGAGGGACUCUGAUUUCAUGGUAUAUUUUCCAAGACCCACCUUGGUCUGUAUAGAUGGUCACCAAUACAUGAGGAGUCACUGAAGAGCUUGGAUUUUGUUGUUGUUGUUAUUAGACAGUUUUGCUACUUCUUUAAUUAUAUAAGAUUACAAUAUAAUUACAUCACUUCUGCCUUCUCUGUCCUUCCUUUAAUAUACCAUAUACCCCUUCAUAAUCUUUUUUUCACUUUUUUUAAACUUUUAUUAAUUACACUUUAUUCAUUUUGUAUCCCCCCAUUAGCUCCUCCCUCCUCCCCUCCUGGUUCCACCCUCCCCCCCUUUCUGCAUGCAUGCCCCUCCCCAAGUCCACUGAUAGGGGAGG